GAGUUUGAUCCUGGCUCAGGACGAACGCUAGCGGCGUGCCUAAGGUAUGCAAGUCGAACGGGGGCUUCGGCCCUCGUGGCGAACGGGUCGAGUAACACGUAGACAACCUGCCCGCAAGUGGGGGAUAACAGCUCGAAAGGGCUGCUAAUACCGCAUGUGGUCCUGGGCCGCCUGGUCCGGGUACUAAAGAUUUAUUGCUUGCGGAUGGGUCUGCGGCCUAUCAGCUAGUUGGCGGGGUAACGGCCCACCAAGGCGACGACGGGUAGCGGGUCUGAGAGGAUGAUCCGCCGGACGGGGACUGAGACACGGCCCCGACUCCUUCGGGAGGCAGCAAUGAGGAAUAUUGCACAAUGGGCGAAAGCCUGAUGCAGCGACGCCGCGUGGGUGAGGAAGUUCUUCGGAAUGUAAAGCCCUUUUGUCGGGGACGAUCCAAGACGGUACCCGACGAAUAAGCCCCGCUAACUACGUGCCAGCAGCCGCCGCGGU
rnacentral:rRNA from 1 species